AGGUGCUGUGGUCCUAUGAGCGAGUCUCCUCACUCCUUUCUUUUCCCAUUUCAUGGUGGAGUCCCAUGGUUUUGCUGAGCCACGUAAGAGGCAGGGGACUUGCUUUCUCAGGUCACAAAUGCAGCAGCUGAGUCCUGGGCCUAGUAAGAGUGGGUCUUGCACACACAGGACUAAUGGCUGGAUCUUUUUAGCAUGCAUUUCUUGAUCAUUUAUAGGUAAUCAGCAUUUUUCCUGCCAUUCGCUUCACCUGGAUAAGUUACUGACUCUCCUUCCGUCUGUGGCUAUGUCAGCAAAAUGAGGCUGGGCAGGCUGUCUGUGGCUUUGUGGCCUGGCCAGCCUGCUCCUCAUAUGAGACAUUGGAUCAACAGACUGGUAUGGUACCAGUUCAGCCUCUGCUGAGGACUUGUGAGCACCAUACCUCUAGGAAGAAAGUCUGCUGGUCCCCAGACCCCUGUAACUUUCCUUCCGCACUUAAGGGAGUCAGGCUCCGCCACCACUUCUUUUGGAACCUGAAUGGUGGUCCCUGUUUCCCUGGAUGCACUCACCUGCCAAAUUCAUCCUAUGCAAUUCUCAGAAUCUCCAGUUUAUCAGUGGCCCUUUAUUUUCAUUUUUUUAAUUUUUAUAUUUUGAGAUCAGUUCUCACUCUGUUAUCCAGGCUGAAAUGCAGUAACACAAUCACAGCUCACUGCAGCCUCGACCUCCCAGGCUCAAAUAAUCCUCCCACCUCAGCCUCUAGAGUAGCUGGAACUACAGGCACAUGCCACCACUCCUGC
rnacentral:lncRNA from 1 species